UCUAGAUUUAGUCUCUAGCCAAAUUUACAUUUAGUAAUGUCCACUUUAAAGAAGAAAAAAAGAUUUAUUAAAGGUCUUUUAAUCGUUAAAUAAUAGACAAAUAUGAUCGCUUGUUACAGCAAUCAUGCAGAAACUUUCUGUAAACCCCUUAGGCUUCGUGAGAUUUGGACGAGAGAGCGAUACCGAAAGAGUAGCCAGAGAUGAUCCAUUUUUGAGAUCACAGAGAAACUAUUGAAGCUUCCACGAGAGAGUAAAACUACGUUUGACAAGGUUAAGGCAAGACCCGGUAUGUGUACCCUUUCAGAGCCACUCAUAAAGUAACAUCUACACCUUUUUGGAAAAAGAAAAAGCAGAAACCAAAUUUUGAAUAUACUUUUUAGAUUUUACAAUUAGACAUCCCUAACUUUCAGUUGAACAAAUGUUUUAAAGUAUGGUCAAAUAAAAGUACAUCAGUAGCAGG
rnacentral:sRNA from 1 species